AGUUCGAUCUGGCUCCCGUUGAACGCUGGCGGGAUGCUUUACACAUGCAAGUCGAACGGCAACGCAGACUUCGGUCUGGUGAGUGGCGAACGGGUGAGUAAUGUGUGGAACGUGCCUAAUGGCGGGGAUAACUACGCGAAAGCGUAGCUAAUACCACAUACGCCCUUCGAGGAAAGCAGCAGGGACCUUCGGGCCUCGCACUAUUAAGAGCAGCCGAUAUCGGAUUAGCUAGUUGGUGGGGUAACGGCUCACCAAGGCGAUCCGUAGCUGGUUUGAAGGACGACCAACCACGCAGGACUGAGACUUUGACCGGAGCUCUACAGGAGGCAGCGGUGAAAUUUGGACAAUGGGGGAAACCCUGAUCCAGCCAUCCCGCGUGUGCGAUGAAGGCCUUCAGGUUGUAAAGCACUUUGGCAGGAAAGAAACGGCCUGGGAUAAUACCCCGUGCAACUGACGGCUGCGAAUAAGCACCGGCUAACUACGUGCCAGCAGCCGCGAUGGCACGUAGAAGACGCAGCGUUAAUCGGAAUUACUGGGCGUAAAGCGUGCGCAGGCAGUUUCGGAAAAGAAAGAUGUGAAAUCUGAGCUUAACUUUGGAACUGCAUUUUUAACUACAAAGGCUAGAGUGUGUCAGAGGGAGGUGGAAUUCCGCGAUGUAGCAGUGAAAUGCGUAGAUAUGCGGAGAACACCGAUGGCGAAGGCAGCCUCCUGAGAUAACACUGGCGCUCAUACACGAAAGCGUGGGGAGCAAACAGAGUUAAGAUACCUGUGGUAGUCCACGCCCUAAACGAUGUCAACCAACUGUUGGGGCCUUCGGGCGCCAGUGUACAAGCUAACAGAAGUCGAAGCGCCUAGAGAGUACGGUCGCAAGAUUAAAACUCAAAGGAAUUGACGGGGACCCGCACAAGCGGUGGAUGAUGUGGAUUAAUUCGAUGCAACGCGAAAAGCCUUACCUACCCUUGACAUGUCUGGAAUCCGAAGAGAUUUGGGAGUGCUCGCAAGAGAACCGGAACACAGGUGCUGCAUGGCUGUCGUCAGCUCGUGUCGUGAGAUGUUGGGUUAAGUCCGCAACGAGCGCAACCCUUGUCAUUAGUUGCUACGAAGAGCACUCUAAUGAGACUGCCGGUGACAAACCGGAGGAAGGUGGGGAUGACGUCAAGUCCUCAUGGCCGCCCAUGGGUAGGGCUUCACACGUCAUACAAUGGUCAGGGACGGAGGGUCGCCAACCCGCGAGGGGAGCCAAUCCCAGGAAACCCGAUCGUAGUCUGGAUCGCAGUCUGCAACUCGACUGCGUGAAGUCGGAAUCGCUAGUAAUCGCGGAUCAACAUGUCGCCGGUGAACCACGUUCCCGGGUCUUGUACACACCGCCCGUCACACCAUGGGAGUGGGUUUACCAAAGUAGUUAGCCUAACCGUAAGGAGGGCAGUGCAGUAAAGUUCAUGACUGGGGUGAGAGUCGUAACAAGGUAG
rnacentral:rRNA from 1 species